CGUGAUCUGAAAAAGAAUCCAGCUGCCGCUCCUGUGACAGUAUGGACUCUUCAGGGAAAACAGGCAUGAAACCGUAAGGGACCAAGCACAGGAGCAGAUGUGGCCACAUUCAAAUUAUUUCUCAGCAGUUUCCUUGGAAUUGCAUUGUGUAUCAUGGCUUAACAUAAUCGGAUGGGAAGCGUUUUCACUUAAUAUCUGAACAAGUAACACUGCAAAGACAAGAGGAUUUUAAUCAUCAAUAACCACGCCUCCACCAGCCUGGGAAGCAGAAUCCUUCACCUGAGUUUGUUUCUGGUUCCACCGCUGAGCACAACAGAGCACAAUUUAUUUCCAUGGAACGUCAUUGGUUCAACAGUAUCGCAGAGGUUUCAUAGCCAAUCGCACAUGGCAU